rnacentral:rRNA from 1 species
GGGUUGUGAGGUUAAGCGACUAAGCGUACACGGUGGAUGCCCUGGCAGUCAGAGGCGAUGAAGGGCGUGCUAAUCUGCGAUAAGCGCCGGUAAGGUGAUAUGAACCGUUAUAACCGGCGAUACCCGAAUGGGGAAACCCAGUGUGAUUCGUCACACUAUCAUUAACUGAAUCCAUAGGUUAAUGAGGCGAACCGGGGGAACUGAAACAUCUAAGUACCCCGAGGAAAAGAAAUCAACCGAGAUUCCCCCAGUAGCGGCGAGCGAACGGGGAGGAGCCCAGAGCCUGAAUCAGCAUGUGUGUUAGUGGAAGCGUCUGGAAAGGCGCGCGAUACAGGGUGACAGCCCCGUACACAAAAGCGCAUGUGCUGUGAGCUCGAUGAGUAGGGCGGGACACGUGGUAUCCUGUCUGAAUAUGGGGGGACCAUCCUCCAAGGCUAAAUACUCCUGACUGACCGAUAGUGAACCAGUACCGUGAGGGAAAGGCGAAAAGAACCCCGGCGAGGGGAGUGAAA